GACGAACGCUGGCGGCGUGCUUAACACAUGCAAGUCGAACGAGAGGAGAAGGAAGCUUGCUUCUUUCAAAUCUAGUGGCAAACGGGUGAGUAACACGUAAACAACCUGCCUUCAGGAUGGGGACAACAGACGGAAACGACUGCUAAUACCGAAUACGUUCCUUAGGUCGCAUGACUUUAGGAAGAAAGGGUGGCCUCUACUUGUAAGCUAUCGCCUGAAGAGGGGUUUGCGUCUGAUUAGCUAGUUGGUGAGGUAACGGCCCACCAAGGCGACGAUCAGUAGCCGGUCUGAGAGGAUGAACGGCCACAUUGGGACUGAGACACGGCCCAGACUCCUACGGGAGGCAGCAGUGGGGAAUCUUCCGCAAUGGACGAAAGUCUGACGGAGCAACGCCGCGUGAACGAUGACGGCCUUCGGAUUGUAAACCUAAGUUGUCAGGGACGAAACAAAUAGAUGGUACCUGAAAAGAAAGACUCCGGCGUAACUACGUAG
rnacentral:rRNA from 1 species